rnacentral:rRNA from 1 species
UAUUAUAUUAUUUAUAAAUGUUCGAUACCUGAGUAGUAAUAGUUAAGGUCUUGAAACUCAAAGAAUUUGGCGGUGUUUUAGUCCUUUCAGAGGAACCUGUCCUGUAAUUGAUAGUACACGAUUUUUCUUUACUCUUUUUUGUUUAUCAAUUUGUAUACCGCCGUCAUAAGAUUAUCUUAAAGAGAGGAUUAAAUUUCUUUGUUUAGUAUUUUAAAAUAUGUCAGGUCAAGGUGCAGUUUAUGGGGGAGAAGUGAUGGGUUACAAUAAUAAUAGUUAUAACGGAGGAAUUAUUUAAUUGAUUUUGAAGGUGGAUUUGAUUGUAAAUUUUUAUAAGAUGUAUUUUUGAUUAGGGCUCUAAAAUGUGCACACAUCGCCCGUCGCUCUCGUAUUUAAUAUGAG